rnacentral:rRNA from 1 species
GACGAACGCUGGCGGCGUGCUUAACACAUGCAAGUCGAACGGUGAAGGGAUCAGCUUGCUGGUUCUGGAUGAGUGGCGAACGGGUGAGUAACACGUGAGUAACCUGCCCCCUUCUUCUGGAUAACCGCAUGAAAGUGUGGCUAAUACGGGAUAUUCUGCGCCUGCUGCAUGGUGGGUGUGGGAAAGAUAUUGUUUCGGUGGGGGAUGGGCUCGCGGCCUAUCAGCUUGUUGGUGGGGUGAUGGCCUACCAAGGCGGUGACGGGUAGCCGGCCUGAGAGGGUGGACGGUCACACUGGGACUGAGACACGGCCCAGACUCCUACGGGAGGCAGCAGUGGGGAAUAUUGCACAAUGGGCGCAAGCCUGAUGCAGCGACGCCGCGUGAGGGAUGGAGGCCUUCGGGUUGUGAACCUCUUUCGCCAGUGAAGCAGGCCUGUCCCUUGUGGGUGGGUUGACGGGAGCUGGAUAAGAAGCGCCGGCUAACUACGU